GUUCAGCCAGCUGUGUGGAAUUUAUACCCCUUCUCUCCCAACAAUUACUGUUCACUAUUUCCAUUUUUUUUCGUAUUUCAAUUUUAGAUUUAAAUUUGUGAAUUAUUAUGAACAAAAAAAUGGUUUUAAAAUAGUUUUGACAUGGGAAGGUAUGAUGGUAGAUUAAGAAAAGAGAGAAAGACAAGUACAAUACAACACAAUGAAGUUUCUUCUAAACAAACAAUUAGGAAUAACAUUAGAACCAUCUUGAAGAAAGACGCGAGCUUACUGACGAAAAACGAAAAAGAAUUACUGACUAAAAAUGAAGAUUUUGUUCAAAAAUUGGAUAAAAAUCAAAAAGCAGCAACUCUCAGAAAAUCUAGACUUUUGGAGAUUGAAGAUGACGCUUGUAUUGUGAUGGAACAAUGCAAAAAACUUGCAGAGGCGUUAAAAACGAACAAGCAUGUAAUUGUAUACACGGGAGCUGGAAUCAGCACUUCAGCAAAUAUCCCCGACUUUAGAGGAGCGGAAGGAGUUUGGACCAAGUUGAGCUCAAAUGUGAAAAUCAACCUUGAGCAUAGCUUGACUAAAGCGGAACCCACUGUCGCUCACAUGGUACUGAAGAAACUGUAUGAUGGAGGAAUUGUGAAACACAUUGUGUCUCAAAACUGUGAUGGACUUCAUCUUCGUAGUGGUCUUCCUCAGAAUGCAUUGUCUGAAAUCCAUGGAAAUAUGUAUCUAGAAAUUUGCACUGAAUGUGAUAAUAAGAUUUAUCGCAUUUUUGAUGUGACUGAAAAGACUUCUCUUCGUCGACACAAUACCGGAAGGAUUUGUGAAUCAUGUCAGGAAGAGUUGAAAGAUACGAUUGUUCAUUUUGGAGAGAGAAGCAAGUUAAGGUGGCCCCAUAACUGGCGUGGUGCUGUUGAGAACGCUGAGAAAUCAGACUUGAUUCUCUGCCUUGGUUCAAGCUUGAAGGUUCUCAGAUCUUACAAACAUCUGUGGAUGACUGACAGACCGAAGCAUAAGCGGCCACAACUGUAUAUCGUUAACUUGCAAUGGACACCCAAAGACACUCAGGCUUCUAUGAAGAUCCACAGCCGAAUAGAUUUUGUCAUGGAAACAGUAUGCAAUAUACUUGGACUCUCUAUCCCCACCUAUUCUAGUGAACAGGAUCCUCUGUACUCUCUCGCGACACCUAGCAACUACGAAGGCCAGAGAAUGCCCAUUCCUCUAACAUAUUUAGAAAAAUUUGAAAGUAUUAAACCAGCCAAUUUUACUACUAAAGAUAAAGCAAAAAGCACCUUAGAACAUUUUCAGUGCACCAACAGCAUAGAUCCUGUUAUUAAAAAUGAGUUUGGAACUAUAAAAAUGUUUCCAGAGAAAGCCAUACUACCUCAUACCCCUUGCACAACAGAUGACAACCCGACACAGUAUUCUCAGGAAAGUGAUGUGUCUUCCACCUCAACCAAUGCAAACAAUGUACCAGCAUGGUUCGGAAAAGGCGUGAAGUCAAAAAUCAAUUCUAUCAAGAAAAAAAAAAGAUGGAAAAACAGGAGGAAAUAAUAUUUUUGUGCAGAUAUGUCUCUCGCCCAUUUGUCAACCUAUCUUCCUGCACACAGUAUACCUUUAUCUCCUAGCAUUGGUAGUAGCUGUUGUAUAUUUAUCCCAGGGGAGAGAAAAGAGGAUACGACGGCUUAAUCAUAUGGCGAACCACGGCCUCUCGUCCAGUUACCAGUCCAUGUCGGGUAUGGGAUUAGUUAGCCAUUAUUUGUUUAGGGAAGCUUGUUAGUUCUCUUCCAGCAAGUUAUCCAAGGAAUUGAUAUCAUGGCCCUGUUCUCAGUGCUUUACACAAACACAAGAACAAUAGGGCAGGAUUUUUGAAUUUAUCAUUUGCCUCCACAGAGGUAAAAUUUGAUAAAACUUAGCAUAUGGCAAAGUACAACCCCUCGCUCUGUUACCUGUUUGAAUGUAGGGAUAGCACACCAGUUUAUUCUUAUUUAAGCAGAAUGUUGGGCAUUCCAUCAUUUCUAAUAUCAUCCAGUCAAUUUGCGAACACACUCAGGAUAUUCAGCUGUGUGAUACUGAUAGCAAGCGUGCCCUCAAUGCAUAUCAUGCUGGACUCCUCGUAGCUGCAGGGUGGUUCACGUAACUGUUAUGGCUUCUUCCACCAUCAAGUGGUCCAUCCAUCUGAAACAAAUAACUGGCCAACUAAUCCCAAACCUGACGUUAACUGGUAACCGGACGAUAGGCCGUGGUAAUGUGAUUAAAGUAGUCUUAUUGACUUUCCCCUCCCCCUUUUAACAAUCAACAUGCAUCAGCUCAGGGAUGAAUUUGUUUUACAGCCUUUUUAUAUUAAACAGAAUAGCAUUUUAUUUCUUGUAUGUAGGACUUUGAUUAAACCAGGUUUAUAACAGUGUGUUUUAAAACGUUCCAUUUUAUCUUCUAUUUUAUUAUUUAUCAUUCUCUGAAAUGGUCUUAUAAUUUUCUGAGCCUGGUAAUGGUACGGAUUUUAAUGAAUAAAUAAUAUAGGAUUCUACAUAUGUAUCUCGGGAGAAGAGAAAAGUUUAUACCAGGGCUUGAAAAUAUGGGUAACCGAGCACUCUCUAUGCCUGAAAUUUUUUCAGAUGCGUGGACUUGAUAGUGAAUGGAGCCAUAGCGACCAGCGUUUUCGUGAACCAGGCGCAUCCAAC